rnacentral:rRNA from 1 species
GAUGAACGCUGGCGGCGUGCUUAAUACAUGCAAGUCGAGCGAACAGACGAGGAGCUUGCUCCUCUGACGUUAGCCGCGGACGGGUGAGUAACACGUGGAUAACCCACCUAUAAGACUGGGAUAACUUCGGGAAACCGGAGCUAAUACCGGAUAAUAUAUUGAACCGCAUGGUUCAAUAGUGAAAGACGGUUUUGCUGUCACUUAUAGAUGGUUCCCCGCCGCGUGAGCUAGUUGGUAAGGUAACGGCUUACCAAGGCAAGGAUGCGUAGCCGACCUGAGAGGGUGAUCGGCCACGCUGGAGCUGAGACGCGGUCCGGACUCGUACGGGAGGCAGCAGUAGGGAGUGUUGCGCAAUGGGCGAAAGCCUGACGAAGCAACGCCGCGUGAGUGAUGAAGGUCUUCGGAUCGUAAAACUCUGUUAUUAGGGAAGAACAAAUGUGUAGGUAACUAUGCACGUCUGAACGGAACCUGAUAAGAAGGCCACGCUGAACUAGGU